CUGUUUGUCCAAACCCUUGGGAUGCUGAUAUGAUGCCUGGAGCUAUAGCAGCCAUCCUGCAAUCAUGAAGCAAUAAACAUGACAAUGAAAAGCCAAUAUGGCAAGGUUGGCAGUGGGAAGACAGGACAAGCCUGGGUUUUCUGUGAUGUUGUUGAGCUCUAAGUACACCAGCUCUGGACUGCCUGCAUCAAGAAAUCUUGUGUAGGGGCACCUGGGUGGCUCAGUCAGUUAGGCGUCCAACUUCAACUCAGGUCAUAAUCUCACCUCAGGUCACGAUCUCACUGUUUGUUGGGUUCGAGCCCUGCGUCAGGCUCUGUGCUGACAACUCAGAGCCUGGAGCCUGCUUCGGAUUCUGUGUCUCCCUCUCUCUCUGACCCUCCCCCAUUCAUGCUCUGUCUCUGUCUCAAAAAUAAAUGUUUAAAAAAAAAAAAAAAAAAAAAAGACCAAAAAGACAUGAAAA